GAAAAAGCCCUAUUUAGGGCUACAGAAAAUUAUGUUUUCAAAUUUAU
rfam:Picea glauca, whole genome shotgun sequence.